GUGUUUACGUAUCGAACGUGUUCAAUUUAUGAUACAGAGUUAUCUCAACGUUGUAGUUUGUUUUUGUAGUUUUGAUAUGUGCAGUUUAAUAUAAACGAGAUAUAAAGCAGAUAAACUUCCGCUAGAGGAACAAGAUCCGGCUAUUCUACAUUGCAGAUUGCCGGCUAUCAUACUAUCGGGCAUGCAACUACUGUGUCCGCCCUAUUCGCUAUACGACUAGUCAGCUGUUGGCAUUGAGAAAUCCCUGCUCUGCAACCGCCGUCCGGUAGCAAUAGAUGACCCUAUUGUGUCAAAUUUCGCAGCAAGGUUCCGUCGCAAUUACAAGUUCAGCAACCGAAACAACUACAUAAGUGCAGAUGAACAACGACACCAAGAUACAGCAAACGAGGAAGAGCCAGAAUGGGUGUCGGCAGGACUUACCUUUCGCCUGGACACAAUUUGUGAAUUCGAUGGAGAUAUUUCAAACAACGCCUCACCAAUCGAUUAGUUGACAUGCUAGCACAAAAUCAAGUCAACAGUAGCAUGAUUACUCAGCAACAAAUUCUAAUGCAAAUUCUCAGUGAAAAUCAACAGAAACAAUGAAAAACAACGUUGAGAAUGCAACUGAUCCACCACAAAUGCAACAACCCAAUCCAUCCCAACGUGAGCUGCAGUUUCGUACCCAAUCCAUAAUUCAGAACGCUUUGCUCCGCAAAAAAACUGCAGGAUCAACGUAAGGCGCUUUGUGAUCAGAACGGUCGAAUUGUUGCCGCUGCCGCUGUGAUUAACAACGGCGAACCAAAUGCAGCUAUGCAGCAAUUCGUACAAUAAAUUUGUCCAAACAUGCGGCGAAGUCUUUUGGUUCAUAGUCACACUGCUAACCGGCCGGUGACAAAUAUCCUAAUGGUACAUAUUUCUCUGCAAAGCCGACUGCAGGAGCCACUACCCUCCGUCACGCAAAAAUUGUGCCAACAGAAACGAGGUGGUCCCAUGAGUGUUAGAACUUCUUAGGAAGCAUCGAAUUCUACAGAUCAAUUCUUACAUGUUACGAUAGAACUGGAUUCUUACAAUGCAUUUACCAGUGCAGAAAUGGUUAUCUCUUGCAACAUUCAAAUUUAAUGUUGUUUUGUACUAUAUAUUACCGUUCCUCAUGAUCAUAUUUCAUAUGUUGUGGAUGUUCUUUGUUUUUGUUCGUGCUCCCUUGGCCGAGUGGUUAGCGUCAUAACUAACAUGCCGGGUGUUCGGGUUCGAUUCCCGUUCUGGUGGGGGGAAUUUUUCGUCAAAGAAAUUUCCUCCGACUUGCACUGUGAUCACGCGUAUUCUAGAGCUUGCCACUCAGAAUGCAUUCAAGGCGUGUUAUUUGGCAUAGAAAUCUCAACUAAGUACUAAUAAAAAUGACGCAAGUAAUACUACGUUGAGACGGCGAAGUUCCUCUAGGAACGUUAGUGUCAUUGAAGAAGAAGAAGAAGGAUGUUCUUUUUCUUUUAUUACUAUUUAUAAUAACGUGCUUCGUUUCAUCAUUGUCAUAUUUUUUUGGGCAAGCGAAAUCUUGAUACAAAUUCUCACUGCCUGAUUUAUGUUUUGAAAAAUUGCAUCGAUUGAUUUGUCGUUAGGUUCUCCCAUCAAGUUUAUUAGUAUAAGACGAUUGUAAAUUAUAGGAACGAAUGUUCGUUCUUUUCUCUUUGUUAUUUUUGUGUCUAACAAUCGCAAUCGCUAAAUAUUUUCUGGAAAAGCCGUUGUUUAACCUCACCACCAGCAAGCGUUAGCAUCUCAUAUAUUGCCUAAAAACUGUCUCAAUUAUUCUCAUGUGAAACUUUUACCCCUAGCUUUGCUCGAGUCUCGUAUCAAGUCAUCUAGAAACAGCGGCAGUCAAAGAGAAGAGCUGCAGCUGGUCGUUCUAAUGUGGUUCCUCUGUCUGUUAGGUCUGCUCAGUGAUGAAAGCCAUGGUGGUGGAGCCAUAAUAGGUUCGCUUGGGGAGCAGGCACCCCGCUGUAGGAUCAGCACGAGCGAAAGAAGAAUUCGAAUAAGGCCAACAUUUCUCCAGAAGGUGAUUUGACACUUGGUAGUGUGAAGUCCGAUGGAAAGAUGUGAACGCUAGGAAAUAUCCAACCUGAUAGCACCAACACUAACAUCCCCCUACGCAUACCGCGUUACACCUGAAUAUUCUAUGUUUCAUAUUCAAAAAGUAAUAAAGUUUUUAGAAAUACGCCGUGCAUGACUAUUCGAAUCAAAAUAACGAGAUGUUGUACGAACUUCACUGUACAUUCACUGGUGUCUCUUUAUUAUCCAACAAACAUGAAAUAAUUCUUCGCGAGGAAUGCUGAAAUUCACGAGCUUAGCUCGAUCUGGUUCUAUUGUCCGUCCAGCUCUCUCUUAAUGAGUAA